rnacentral:rRNA from 1 species
CAUUAGCAUGGAAUAAUGAAAUAGGACGCGCGGUUCUAUUUUGUUGGUUUCUAGGACCGCCGUAAUGAUUAAUAGGGACAGUCGGGGGCAUCAGUAUUCAAUAGUCAGAGGUGAAAUUCUUGGAUCUAUUGAAGACUAACUACUGCGAAAGCAUUUGUCAAGGAUGUUUUCAUUAAUCAGGAACGAAAGUUGGGGGAUCGAAGACGAUCAGAUACCGUCGUAGUCUUAACCAUAAACUAUGCCGACUAGGGAUCGGACGAUGUUAUUUUUUGACUCGUUCGGCACCUUACGAGAAAUCAAAGUGCUUGGGCUCCAGGGGGAGUAUGGUCGCAAGGCUGAAACUUGAAGAAAUUGACGGAAGGGCACCACCAGGGGUGGAGCCUGCGGCUUAAUUUGACUCAACACGG